rnacentral:rRNA from 1 species
AACGAACGCUGGCGGCAUGCCUAACACAUGCAAGUCGAACGAGAUCUUCGGGUCUAGUGGCGCACGGGUGCGUAACGCGCGGGAAUCUGCCCUUUGGUUCGGAAUAACAGUUGGAAACGACUGCUAAUACCGGAUGAUGACGAAAGUCUAAAGAUUUAUCGCCAGAGGAUGAGCCCGCGUAGGAUUAGCUAGUUGGUGUGGUAAAGGCGCACCAAGGCGACGAUCCUUAGCUGGUCUGAGAGGAUAAUCAGCCACACUGGGACUGAGACACGGCCCAGACUCCUACGGGAGGCAGCAGUGGGGAAUAUUGGACAAUGGGCGAAAGCCUGAUCCAGCAAUGCCGCGUGAGUGAUGAAGGCCUUAGGGUUGUAAAGCUCUUUUACCCGGGAUGAUAAUGACAGUACCGGGAGAAUAAGCUCCGGCUAACUCCGUGCCAGCCGCCGCCGUAA